rnacentral:rRNA from 1 species
CCUACGGGAGGCAGCAGUGAGGAAUAUUGGUCAAUGGCCGAGAGGCUGAACCAGCCAAGUCGCGUGAGGGAAGACGGCCCUAUGGGUUGUAAACCUCUUUUGUCGGGGAACAAAGAGCGUCACGUGUGACUCAUUGAAAGUACCCCAUGAAAAAGCAUCGGCUAAUUCCGUGCCAGCAGCCGCGGUAAUACGGAGGAUGCGAGCGUUAUCCGGAUUUAUUGGGUUUAAAGGGUGCGCAGGCGGAGGUGUAAGUCAGCGGUCAAAUUGCGGGGCUCAACCCCGGACUGCCGUGGAAACUGCAUCGCUUGAGUGCGCGGGACGUAUGCGGAAUGCGUGGUGUAGCGGUGAAAUGCAUAGAUAUCACGCAGAACUCCGAUUGCGAAGGCAGCAUACGGGCGCGCAACUGACGCUGAUGCACGAAGGCGUGGGUAUCGAACAGGAUUAGAUACCCCGGUAGUC